rnacentral:lncRNA from 1 species
UUAGUUUUGACUUAGAGUUGAGACCGCGAAGCAUAUGCCAACAAAGGUUGAGAAUAUGUAAAGAAAACGGAACGAUUUCUAUUUUGAAAAUGUACUUGGCUGCACGAAAUAAUAAUGAAAAAAAAACAAGAACAAAUCAAUACGAAAAUGUGAUCGGCUCGUGUGAUGUGUCUGGUCUCUGAUGUCGUAGCUCUCCAUGCUCUCCACUCGAUGCUUUUUGGCGGAUUUGAGGCCAGAGCCAGCCAUCGUAACAACAUAUGAUACAGAAGUUCUGGGUCUGUCAUCAGUCUGUCUGUCCCACCUGUCAUCACCAAAUAUGUCAGCAUCACCGCUUAGAUACACAGCAUCCCCUUGCAUUGGAAAAACUACCGAUGUCAAUCAAGUUACGGAUCUCUCUUUUUCCCCUUUCUUUCAAUGUCCUCGUGUACGCCCAUGUGAAUAUGGGUGUAUUCACGAGGACACCCUUUACCCUAUCCCGCCUAGCUGUGCAUAAAGCACUUGUUCUUGCUAGACUAGUCCAUAUGCACCCUCAAUCGCCAGCUGUUGCUAUCGAGAUCUCAGGAUUGUAAACUGCUAUUGGUGAUUUUAGCCAUUCGACUUUCACGGAAGGCAGGUUAAGCCGGAAUGGAUGAAAUCGCCGCUACAACGAUGAGAAUUACAAUUGUGUAGACCAUAGAUGUUCGUUCGUUGCAGACCCGCAUGAAAUGGAAAGUAAAAGUGCUGAUGAAAUUGUCUCCUAAUAUGAGUAAAGCAAUAUAAGGAGAAGAUGUAAUCGAAA